AACUUAUCUAAUCUCCUUAAAUACCAAACAGAGGAAUCCUAUAAAUCUCAAUGAAUGGGCCACUUUGGUAGUUACCACCCAUUGAAAUCUACAAUCCCCUAAAAAUAGAGAUUAACACAAAAAUAUUUCAUUAUCUAAACUGAAUAUGAGAAUACAAAAAUUGUAAUAACAUAUUUUUAUGCUUUUAUGCAAUUAAACUGUAUUGCAG
rnacentral:lncRNA from 1 species